AUUCAGUCCAACCAAACCACUGCUCUCUCUCUCACCUCACGCACGAGCCGUCGUUUUGGCGAAGUAUGAACGCGUUGACCCUACCGUUAAUCCUCUUCCAGCCGGAGCAACCGUCGCGGCAUAAUCAAAUUUCUCGACUACUACUAAAGCAACUCCAAUUCAAAUUCAUCGAAACCUUACCCAAAUUUCGUUACGUUUUUCCUCAUUUCCUUACAGACUUUCUCUUCCUUUAUCGGAACAAAACCCAUCCAACCAAUCCCAGGGAAAAGGAUAAAGCUGAGUUCAUACGCUUAAUGCUCAAAUUCGGUGUCUGCGACUAUUAGACGCGGUUCUGCAAAGAGAAUUAUUCAAUUCGAGAUCUAUAGAUCAAACAGGGAUUUGUUCCUGCGGCUAGUCGGCUCAAGAUUUCUUGAGUAAUUUGUCCUCAAACGGGAGGCUCGUAGAUAAGAAACUUAUUCACCAUAAGUAAAUGUGCGUUGAAGUAUCAGUAGGAGAGUGCUGGACCAAAUAUAGAUUUUUGGUGAAAAAUUUCAGACAAACUGCUCGAGGUCAGACUAGCAUAUUCUGAUGGAGAUUCUGGCUCAUAAUAAGUUGAAAAAGAAUGCCGAAGAAGUGGAAACCACUGGAGAAGCUGAACAUGUUGAUGAUAUCAUAACUCAAAGGUGUGAGCACAUACUUAGACUAGAGAAAUCCCGAAGUUGUGGCUCAGUUCCAAUAGUAGACACUAAUAUAAUACCAAAUUACAUUAGAAAGGCACAGAUGUCAAGUUUGGCCACGAUAAGCAAUAACAAGAAAUUUAUUAACUCUAUGAAGUUAGAGAACGUGAAACAAGUCGUUACUCCUGAAAAGUUGAAUCUAGGUGAUAGAAACCAUCUCCCCACAAGUUCUCGUUCUAAAUUUGUCAAUUCCUCCGAUGGUGUAUCUCAAAAUGGGGACAAGUUGGAUUUUGGAGGGUUGCCAGUCACAAGCUCAGAAAAUCGUCCCAAUGUCACUUUAGAUGAAAAAUCUCAAGUUCAUGAUAUUGUUUUCUUUGACUCUAAUGUUAAGCCUACUUUUUCACUAGUUAUAUCUAGGGAUUCAGAAGACACCACUUCAACAUUAUCAUCAAUUGAAUCAGCAGGUCGCACCAGGGAUGCUUCUGAAAAAGUAAAAUUAGAAUCACCAGCUCCUGCGACUCCAGCCUUCUUGCAAGUUGAACCACAACUCCCACGUAGAUUGUUGGUGGAAAGAAAAAGUGAUACAAUUGGGCAACAAGGACAAGAACUUCCCGAAAUUGUUUGUUCUUCUGUGGCUGACCACGAAUCUGAACUUGGGAGUGAUGAAGCUGGAAUUCAGAAGUUGGUUGAGGACUUGAAUAGCAAUUCACUUGAAACUAUUAGAGCUGCAAUAGCUGAAUUUCGAAGUCUUGCCAGGCAAAAUACUGAAAACCGGAUUUUGAUUGCCAAACAUGGAGCAAUCCCCUUUUUGGUCAAAUUGAUGUAUUCUACAGAUGCAAUAAUCCAAGAGCAUGCUGUUACAACACUUCUCAAUCUAUCAAUCCACAGUGACCACAAAAUCGCCAUUGCUGAGGCCAAUGUAAUUGAGCCUUUGAUUCACGUCCUUGUUACAGGAAGCCCUGAGGCAAGGGAGAACUCAGCUGCCACUUUCUUUAGCUUAGCUAUGCUCGUGGAAAACAGGGUAAAGAUUGGGAAGUCAGGGGCCAUUGGGCCUCUGGUUGAACUACUAGGUAAUGGGACUCCUAGGGGAAGGAAAGAUGCAACAACUGCAUUGUUUUAUCUGUCUAUGCUUCCAGAGAACAAGGUCAAGAUUGUGCAAGCUGGAGCUGUUAAGCAUCUUUUGGAGUUGAUGGAUCCAUCAGUUGGAAUGGUUGACAAGACGGUUGCUGUUCUAGCAAACCUUGCUACUAUUCAGGAGGGAAAGGUUGAAGUUGGUAGGAUGGGUGGGAUCCCUGUGUUGGUUGAGGCUAUUGAAUUGGGUUCUGCCAGAGGAAAAGAGAAUGCAGCAGCUGCACUAUUGCGGGUUUGCUCAACCUCUAACAGAUUUUGCAUAAUGGCUCUCCAAGAAGGAGUUAUUCCGCCCUUGGUGGCAUUGUCACAAUCUGGAACUCGGAGGGCGAAGGAUAAGGCUCAAGAACUGCUUAACCUCCUCAGAAAGCAUGUGCGUAGUAAUGUUGAAAAACACUAAUUUUGAGGUUCGGGAUCUGCUUAACGUCUUCAGAAAGCAUGUGAAUAGUAAUAUUGAAAGCCGAUAAUCUUAAAGUAUGCCUGACAAUUUUUGACAUUAACCUUGGAUGUCGCUGCUGUUGAAGGGGGGCAUGUAAAAUUUUUCAUGCUCCCAUAAUAUUACAUCAGGUAUCUGCGUAGAACAUUUUUCUGAUUUGUAAAUAGAUGGUGGAAAUGCAGUAAAAUUCAUUCAGAAAAAUGAAAAGAGUAAAGAGGCAGAAGUAAUUUCCAAUUAAUGUCUCGAUUUGAUUUGACUGUUUCAUAUUGGAAAAUUUUCCAGGUGGUAGCUGAAGGUUGCAUGGCUUUAAUAUGAAGAACUAAGAUGAGCAACCAAAGCUGAUCCCUCAUCAUCCACAAACAGUAACAGAUCCUCCAUUAUUGAAUUACCAUAUUGAUAUGAUAUUCAUUCAAUAUAAACUCAGUAAGACAAGAAUUACGUUUGGUUCCUAGUUUGGUGCUUUAUCAAGAGUGAACACUUGGAUACAGAUCCUUUAGGCUUGUGAUUUCUUCGGUAGCACUUUUUGAUUUGAUUGAAGCCUUUUAAUCAGAGCGAUGUAUUUAAAUCAAAGCAUGUUAUUUAGGAUACGAGGAUGAAGCUAAACUUGAUUAAUUAAAGAUAGAGUUUAUUUGUGCAUAGUUAAAUUCAUAGGAAAGAUCGUUGACGUUACAAACCCCGCGUUUCUUUCAAUGAAUCUCGUUGAAUUGACCAAAUAAAUUUCUUAUUGGGUGUUUUCAUAUGUGGGACAAAAUGUGAAUGGUUAAGUCUACUGGUCAUUGUUUCAAUUUUA